GGACCCGCACAAGCGGUGGAGUAUGUGGUUUAAUUCGAUGCAACACGAAGAACCUUACCAGGGUUUGAAAUCAUUUCAAAACUCCUUGAAAGAGGAGCCUCCUUCGGGAUGAAAUGACAGGUGGUGCAUGGCUGUCGUCAGCUCGUGUUGUGAAAUGUCGAGUUAAGUCUCGUAACGAGCGCAACCCAUGUCUCUUGUUGCUCACUGAGUGCUUAAGAGAGACUGCCGACCAACAUCGGAGGAAGGUGUGGAUGAUGUCAAGUCAGCAUGCCCCUUACAUCCUGGGCUACACACGUACUACAAUGGUAAGGACAAUGAGCUGCGAUCCUGCGAAAGGCUAAGCCCA
rnacentral:rRNA from 1 species